CUUGGUGGCUACAGCGUGGGGGUCCCACCUCUUCCCAUUCCGAACAGAGCCGUUAAGCCCCACAGCGCCGAUGGUACUGCCGAAAGGUGGGAGAGUAGGUCGCCGCCAAGU
rnacentral:rRNA from 1 species